rnacentral:lncRNA from 1 species
GGCCAUUUUAAAUUGACGAGGAGUCCUUGGACCCCACCUGCACAAAUACACCUGGCUUCAUGUGUCAGGAUGAUGGGGUUGAAAGGAGGUCGCUAACGGGAACUGGAUCCUAAGUGUGUGUGUGUGUGUGUGUGUGUGUGUGUGUGUGUGUGUCUCAAGGGAGAAGAGAAGCUGUCUUCCUUUUAUUUUAUUUCUUCCAUAAGUCAUUUUGUGAAAACUCCCCUGCCCCAAACGCCUAUUCCGUGAGAACAUCAGGUAUUGUCUCUAACAUUUCAUUCAUUCAUUCAUUCAUUGGAUUGGUCGGGGAGUAAUUGGCUGAGAGCGAGAUCCACGCUCUGCAUCUGAGGAUGUAUUAGUACUUCCUGGUUUCCAUAGAAAGCCAACAUCAGGGAGAACGUUUUGAUGACACUCUAGUUUCCGUGACAACCGAGGUAAGCCAUUCUUUCCUGGCGGCAGAAACAUUUAACAAGGAUAUUUACAGACUGGAGAGAUGGAGUAACUGUAGAAACAUCGAGACUAGUCGGUGUCUGCUAUCAACAUUAACAUUAGAGGUGCAGAGGUCCUGGGUAUCUACAUUUGAAGCCGUUUGACCCCUGGAAGAACAGUGCCCUUCAGAAGCACGGAGCAGGGUAAAGGGUCUGCCGGGCAAGCAGUUGGAGUGUGCGAAUCAACAGAUCCAGCUACCAACAGGACCACACCUACCACGAUCCACGUGGCCUUGUAUUCCCCAGCAUAGUCCGUCCAAAACACGAGUUCCAGCGUCCCUGGGAGACUCAGGGGGAGAAGGACAGGCCAGACAAGCUGUGAAACCUUCGCAGUCCUCGGCAAAAAGGUGUGGGGAAGAACGCUGUUCUAGGCAAGAUCUGCCGCAGCUGCAGGUAUGACAGCCAGACCCCUCCACCUCUAUGAAUUACCUCUU